rnacentral:rRNA from 1 species
CCAGACUCCUACGGGAGGCAGCAGUGGGGAAUAUUGCACAAUGGAGGGAACUCUGAUGCAGCGACGCCGCGUGAGUGAAGAAGUAAUUCGUUAUGUAAAGCUCUAUCAGCAGGGAAGAAAGUGACGGUACCUGAAAAAGAAGCUCCGGCUAAAUACGUGCCAGCAGCCGCGGUAAUACGUAUGGAGCAAGCGUUAUCCGGAUUUACUGGGUGUAAAGGGAGAGUAGGUGGCAGAGCAAGUCCGAAGUGAAAACCCAAAGCUCAACUAUGGGAAUGCUUUAGAAACUGCUCAGCUAGAGUGCAGGAGAGGCAAGUGGAAUUCUUAGUGUAGCGGUGAAAUGCGUAGAUAUUAGGAGGAACACCAGUGGCGAAGGCGGCUUGCUGGACUGUAACUGACACUGAGGCUCGAAAGCGUGGGGAGCAAACAGGAUUAGAUACCCUAGUA